rnacentral:rRNA from 1 species
AGAGACAGCAGCAGCCACGGGAAUACAGAGGGUGCGAGCGUUAAUCGGAUUUACUGGGCGUAAAGCGUGCGUAGGCGGCUUUUUAAGUCGGAUGUGAAAUCCCUGAGCUUAACUUAGGAAUUGCAUUCGAUACUGGGAAGCUAGAGUAUGGGAGAGGAUGGUAGAAUUCCAGGUGUAGCGGUGAAAUGCGUAGAGAUCUGGAGGAAUACCGAUGGCGAAGGCAGCCAUCUGGCCUAAUACUGACGCUGAGGUACGAAAGCAUGGGGAGCAAACAGGAUUAGAUACCCCGGUAGUCCCUGUCUCUUAUAC